CAAGUCGUACGUUCUCUCCUUGCGCUUCGGUGGAAGGAGAGGGAGUGGCGGACGGGUGAGUAAGACAUGGGUACCUGCCUUCAGGUGAGGAAUACCCCCGGGAAACCGGGGACAAGACCGCAUAGGCUCUCCUCUUGCAAGAGGGGAGAGCAAAGCCCGCAAGGGUGCCUGAAGAGGGGCCUGUGGCCGAUUAGCUGGCUGGUGGGGUAACGGCUCACCAGGGCGAUGAUCGGUAGCUGGUCUGAGAGGACGAGCAGCCACACUGGGAUUGAGAACGGCCCAGACUCCUACGGGGGGCAGCAGUGAGGAAUUUUCCGCAAUGGGCGCAAGCCUGACGGAGCAACGCCGCGUGCAGGACGACGGCCUUCGGGUUGUAAACUGCUUUUCUCGCCGACGAGACACGGACGGUAGGCGAGGAAGAAGCCCCGGCAAACUACGUGCCAGCAGCCGCGGCAAUACGUAGGGGGCGAGCGUUGUCCGGAGUUACUGGGCGUAAAGCGCCCGCAGGCGGUUCUGCGCGUGUCCGGUGCCAGCUCUGUGCUCAACGCAGAGAGUGCCGGGCAGACGGCAGGACUCGAGGGCCUCAGAGGGACAUAGAAUUCCGGGUGGAGUGGUGAAAUGCGUAGAGAUCCGGAGGAAUACCAAUGGCGCAGGCAGUGUCCUGGGAGGCAACUGACGCUGAGGGGCGAAAGCCAGGGGAGCGAACGGGAUUAGAUACCCCGGUAGUCCUGGCCGUAAACGAUGACCAUCAGGCGGGUGGGGUAUCGACCCCCUGCCUGCCGGAGCUAACGCACGAAAUGGUCCGCCUGGGGAGUACGGUCGCAAGAUUAAAACUCAAAGGAAUUGACGGG
rnacentral:rRNA from 1 species